rnacentral:rRNA from 1 species
GAUGAACGCUGGCGGCGUGCCUAAUACAUGCAAGUCGAGCGAACAGACGAGGAGCUUGCUCCUCUGAUGUUAGCGGCGGACGGGUGAGUAACACGUGGAUAACCUACCUAUAAGACUGGGAUAACUUCGGGAAACCGGAGCUAAUACCGGAUAACAUGUUGAACCGCAUGGUUCAACAGUGAAAGACGGUCUUGCUGUCACUUAUAGAUGGAUCCGCGCCGCAUUAGCUAGUUGGUAAGGUAACGGCUUACCAAGGCAACGAUGUGUAGCCGACCUGAGAGGGUGAUCGGCCACACUGGAACUGAGACACGGUCCAGACUCCUACGGGAGGCAGCAGUAGGGAAUCUUCCGCAAUGGGCGAAAGCCUGACGGAGCAACGCCGCGUGAGUGAAGAAGGUCUUCGGAUCGUAAAACUCUGUUAUUAGGGAAGAACAAAUGUGUAAGUAACUAUGCACGUCUUGACGGUACCUAAUCAGAAAGCCACGGCUAACUACGUG